rnacentral:rRNA from 1 species
GACGAACGCUGGCGGCGUGCUUAACACAUGCAAGUCGAACGGAAAGGCCUCUUUCGGGGGGUACUCGAGUGGCGAACGGGUGAGUAACACGUGAGUAACCUGCCCUUGACUUUGGGAUAACUUCAGGAAACUGGGGCUAAUACCGGAUAGGAGCUCCUGCUGCAUGGUGGGGGUUGGAAAGUUUCGGCGGUUGGGGAUGGACUCGCGGCUUAUCAGCUUGUUGGUGGGGUAGUGGCUUACCAAGGCUUUGACGGGUAGCCGGCCUGAGAGGGUGACCGGCCACAUUGGGACUGAGAUACGGCCCAGACUCCUACGGGAGGCAGCAGUGGGGAAGAUUGCACAAUGGGUGGAAGCCUGAUGCAGCAACGCCGUGUGCGGGAUGACGGCCUUCGGGUUGUAAACCGCUUUCGCUCAUGACGAAGCUUUGUGUGACGGUAGUGGGUAAAGAGGCACCGGCUAACUACGUG